rnacentral:rRNA from 1 species
UACGGUGGGGGCAAGCGUUGUUCGGAUUUACUGGGCGUAAAGGGCGCGUAGGCGGUCGUGACAAGUCACUUGUGAAAUCUCCGGGCUUAACUCGGAACGGUCAAGUGAUACUGUCGGACUAGAGUACAGAAGGGGCAACUGGAAUUCUCGGUGUAGCGGUGAAAUGCGUAGAUAUCGAGAGGAACACCUGCGGCGAAGGCGGGUUGCUGGGCUGAUACUGACGCUGAGGCGCGAAAGCCAGGGGAGCGAACGGG